AGAGUUUGAUCCUGGCUCAGGAUGAACGCUGGCGGCGUGCCUAACACAUGCAAGUCGAGCGCGAUUGGUUGGAACGGAGACUUCGGUCAAAGAGAAGACUAUGAAAGCGGCGGACGGGUGAGUAACGCGUGAGCAACCUGCCCUGUACAGGGGGAUAGCCGCUGGAAACGGUGAUUAAUACCCCAUAACCCCAAAGGAUCGCAUGGUCUAAUGGGCAAAGCCUUGGCGGUACAGGAUGGGCUCGCGUCUGAUUAUCUAGUUGGUGAGGUAACGGCUCACCAAGGCGACGAUCAAUAGCCGACCAGAGAGGGUGAACGGCCACACUGGAACUGAGACACGGUCCAUACUCCUACGGGAGGCAGCAGUGGGGAAUAUUGCACAAUGGGCGCAAGCCUGAUGCACCAACGCCGCGUGAGUGAAUAAGGCCUUCUGGUCGUAAAACUCUGUCCUAAGGGAAGAAGAAGUGACGGUACCUUAGGAGGAAGCCCCGGCUAACUACGUGCCAGCAGCCGCGGUAAUA
rnacentral:rRNA from 1 species